UACGGAGGGUGCGAGCGUUAAUCGGAAUUACUGGGCGUAAAGCGCGCGUAGGCGGUGGCGUGAGUCGGGCGUGAAAGCCCCGGGCUUAACCUGGGAAUUGCGUUCGAUACUGCGCUGCUAGAGUCUGGGAGAGGGAAGGGGAAUUCCGGGUGUAGCGGUGAAAUGCGUAGAUAUCGGGAGGAACACCAGUGGCGAAGGCGACUGCCUGGACGAAAACUGACGCUGAGGAGCGAAAGCGUGGGGAGCGAACAGG
rnacentral:rRNA from 1 species